GACGAACGCUGGCGGCGUGCUUAACACAUGCAAGUCGAACGGAAAGGCCCUGCUUUUGUGGGGUGCUCGAGUGGCGAACGGGUGAGUAACACGUGAGUAACCUGCCCUUGACUUUGGGAUAACUUCAGGAAACUGGGGCUAAUACCGGAUAGGAGCUCCUGCGGCAUGGUGGGGGUUGGAAAGUUUCGGCGGUUGGGGAUGGACUCGCGGCUUAUCAGCUUGUUGGUGGGGUAGUGGCUUACCAAGGCUUUGACGGGUAGCCGGCCUGAGAGGGGGACCGGCCACAUUGGGACUGAGAUACGGCCCAGACUCCUACGGGAGGCAGCAGUGGGGAAUAUUGCACAAUGGGCGGAAGCCUGAUGCAGCAACGCCGCGUGCGGGAUGGCGGCCUUCGGGUUGUAAACCGCUUUCGCCUGUGACGAAGCGUGAGUGACGGUAAUGGGUAAAGAAGCACCGGCUAACUACGUG
rnacentral:rRNA from 1 species